UACGGGGGGGGGCAAGCGUUGUUCGGAAUUACUGGGCGUAAAGGGCGCGUAGGCGGCCUUCUAAGUCGGACGUGAAAUCCCUCGGCUUAACCGAGGAACUGCGUCCGAUACUGAAAGGCUUGAAUCCGGGAGAGGGAUGUGGAAUUCCAGGUGUAGCGGUGAAAUGCGUAGAUAUCUGGAGGAACACCGGUGGCGAAGGCGGCAUCCUGGACCGGUAUUGACGCGUGAGGCGCGAAAGCUAGGGGAGCAAACGGGG
rnacentral:rRNA from 1 species